rnacentral:rRNA from 1 species
UACGGGGGGGGCAAGCGUUGUUCGGAAUUACUGGGCGUAAAGGGCUCGUAGGCGGCCAACUAAGUCACACGUGAAAUCCCUCGGCUCAACCGGGGAACUGCGUGUGAGACUGGAUGGCUUGAGUUUGGGAGAGGAAUGCGGAAUUCCCAGUGUAGAGGUGAAAUGCGCAGAUAUCGGGAAGAACACCCGUGGCGAAGGCGGUUCUCUGGGACGGUACUGACGCUGAGACGCGAAAGCGUGGGGAGCGAACAGG